rnacentral:rRNA from 1 species
AUGCCUUCUACGUACCUGGAUGAAUUUAAUCCAGCAGGACUAGGGAUCGGGAAACAGAUCCUUAUGGAGCCCCGACGGAACAAGGCAACGACGGCCUAUUUUUUCCAUCCCCUCCCCCACCCCCACGCACGCAAAAAAAAAUCCUCCGGUCCAAAAUCAUCGAGUCUUCUCCUCGAUACCCUAGCGCAUCUCACCAGCGCCGCCGCCGUUCCCUGCCACACCCACCACAAAACCAAUCCCUCACGUCGAGGGAGGAGCACGAAAGGCAGAGCUGCUCCCGCACGCGCAGCGCCGCCGCUAGCGUGCCCCGCCCUCAUCUGGUCAAGGGCGCGGCAGAGCAGGACGCCGGCACGUUCGGUGACCGGCUGGACUUCUGCAAGGCGAACCUGUUCACGGGGCGGGGAGGAGUGCGAGGAGCCGGCGGUGGCGCAGGAGAGGAUCAUGCACCGGAUCAACUCCAAGAUGGCGCACAAGUCGUACCAGCUGGGGCAGCAGCUGUCGUUGCGGUGGUCGACCGGCGUCGGGCCGCGGAUCGGGUGCGUGCGCGACUACCUGCCGAAGCUGCAGUUCCGGUUGUUGGAGGAUUCGGGCUUUGAAAUUGUGCCAAUUUUAGCGCAUCCCUGGCGCCACGAGGAAAAUAUCAUGGAAUUGACAAGAGCAAGGCAGGAGAGAUGCUGGGAGCCAAAAUCAAUAGCGCCCAGACUGCAUGCAGAUAUAUAUAGCCUCAACAAGAUGAAUUGUGAGAUCGAGCUCCUUCAGUUUCAGCAUAAGCCCCCGCAUAAAUCAUCACCUUUGGAGAAGUUUGUGUACGUGAGGUUUUCAUGGUCCUUGAGCUGUUGUUACAUGCAGGGCCGUGCUUGCCAAGAAUCGAAACCGAUCCUCCUUGAAGAUGGUCCGACCUCCAGUUCAUCUAUCGAAGGAGAUAGUUGGUCAACUUUUUCUGGUGCCUUGGAUCUUUAUCCAAUUGGCAGAGAUACAGCAAGAAUUUCGAUUUGGCAGGUCCCUCACGGAGACACUGGAGGAGAUGGUGUGCUCAACCUGAGUUCGCCUUCAGCAUCCUCCUACAGUUUGACAAGGUACCAAUGGAAUAAUGCUAAAAUACCUCGAUGUUGCUACAUGUUUGUUAGUGUAAUUGUACUGAGCAGAUCAGCUACUAAUCUUCCUUGUCUUCUGUUUGAUGCCAUGACGACUUUUUGGUCGUGCAUGAGCAGUACUAAUUACUAUUUGCAUAUUUGUGUAUACAAGAAUGAAGAAUCAGUACAUAGAUCAGAAGGAAGACCUAUUCUGCAUUCACCAGAGGAGGGGGCUAACUGA